rnacentral:rRNA from 1 species
UUUAGAAAGUAAAUUGUAUUAACGCUAGGGGACUACGAGAAAAUUCUUAAAAUCCAAAGAGCUUGGCGGUGUCUCAGACUAUUCAGGGGAACUUGUCUCUGUAUCGAUAAUCCACGCAGGACCUUACCCUAUUUAGUAAUUACUGCUUGCAUACAGUCGUCGUCAGUUUUUGUUAAAAGAUGAUAGAAGAGAGCGAAAAUAAUUAUGUAAUUUUUUAUGUCAGAUCAGUGUACAGUUAAUAAUAGGGGGGAGGUGAGUUACAAUUAAUAAUUAUAAUUACGAAAGUGGCAGAGAAGUGAGCUGUUGAAGGAGGACUUGAAAGUAAAAAUAAUUUAUAAAGAUUUUUUGAACAAAGUUAAGAUGCGUACAAAUCGCCCGUCGCUCUCGUUGAAAAGCGAGAUAAGUCGUAACAAAGUAGGGGUAACGGAAGUUGUCUCUAGAUA